AUACAGCUUGUAGUGAGGAUAACAGUCUGGUUUAUAUUUUCAUUAGACUUCCUGUGUCUGUACUGUGCUGCACCUGCCUACUCCCAAUAUGCUUGUUAUAACUGUCAUAUACUUUUAUGAGGAUAGAGGCAAUGUUCUGGCAAGCUAACUUGACUCAAAUUGUGUUCAGAUAUAAAACAUGAAGACCCACUUGUGAUUGCAAAGGUAGUAAGUCUAAUUUGAUUAGUGCUCCAGUGACAUGGCAAAUUAUGAAUGUCAUUUGUCAUUUCUCAUAAGUACUCAUGAAAGAAUCAUUUUCAGAGAAGGUGUAAUUGAAGUUGGUGAACACAUUCAGCACCUUUUGCGCUCAGGGAAAUAGUCUAUAUAUCAUGCUCAGUGCUGGCUUUAGAACAAAAAGAAACAGGAAAAGCAAUAAGCAGGAAGUCCUACCUACCAAACUGAGUGAAAAUUUUUCCCUUGAUUUCAGUGGAAGUAUGACUUUCUCGUUAAAAUUUGUGUAACUGAGUCCCAGCAACCAAAAAUCCCCACAAUUUAAAAUCUUAAAACCGUUGUUAAACAAUCAGGACUUAUUUUCUAAAAAUGCUCUAUCUUUCCUAGUUGCUAAGCAACUAGGUUUAAAGAAAAAGGCCAGUACCUCAGCUUAUGUGAACUGGAGGGAAAUUUAUAUAUAUACAGAUGCACACCUGUUUUUCAAAAGACUGAGAUUAUGCAUUAAGUUAGUAUUUCUUUCAGAAUGUUGUGUGCACGAAAGUAGAAUUACUUUUCUUACUGUCAGAAGAUAUAUCUCCUCAAGCUUUGUGUCUUGUUAUAUAAAUAUUGCUGGAAGGAUUCAUUAAGACACCAUAAAAUACUAGGGGAGGAAGGAGAGGAAAAAAAAAAAAAAGACCUGGUUUUCCUGAAUAUUCUUUCCAUUGUCAAACAACACAAUUCAGCUGGGAAGACAGACACUAAUAUGAAUAUAAGCCAUGAGUAAACUCCAACUUAAAUCAUGGAACCAACCGACAGAAUCAAGUUGCACUUCGCAAAGGAGCACGGGAGAAUUGUCUUGUAAAAUCCUUUAAGCACAAGUGUACUUUUUACCACAUUUAUGCCAAUAUGACAUUCUUAGGGAAAUCUGUAUUCUGGUUUUUAGUUACUUAAAAUAAUUAAAGCAAU
rnacentral:lncRNA from 7 species